CUUUCAGAACCUUGGUCCUUGCUUUGAGCUGCAGCCGCCACACACCUCUGCUAGGGUUCCGCCCCACUGUUGUUGAGCCAGUUCGAAGUUUCCCCUACUCCAGUUCUCCCGUUCGUUCCUUGAAGCUGCGAUGCUCGUACGUUCGGUAGCGAGGGCUUGUCGGAGUGUUUUGCUAGCUUGAAUCCCAGUUGGGCGAGGUUCUCAGAGUCAACAAGCGAAUGGUGAUUCCGCUACUUAGCCAUCUGGGCUGGAGUCUUCCUUGUGUUUAUUUAGGGCCAUGGCCCAUGUAUUUCUUUCCGUAUUUCUACGCUACAUUCUACGUUGUAUCCAUAUUCAACUAUCCUGCUUUUGUUGGCAUCGUGGUGUGCCUAAUUUUGUAGGGGUUGUGUUAGGGACCCCAAGACUACUCUGCAGUACUAUU